rnacentral:ncRNA from 1 species
UAACGAACAACAGGGGGCUUGCGUAUCAAGCAGGCUGAGAUUGGGAUGAAUGCCCUGACCUGCAACCUGAUUUGGAUAAUGCCAACGUAGGGAAAGAGAUGCGUAAAUGU